rnacentral:tRNA from 3 species
AUUUUUCUACUCUGUAUCAUCGGUCUCGAAAACCGGAGUAGGGGCAACUCUACCGGGGGUUCAAAUCCCCCUCUCUCCGCCA